GAGGUAUGGAUCUACCAAUGACUUGCCCCAAUUAUGGUAAGAAAGAGGAGACUAUGGAUAAUAUCCUAUUCGCUUGUCUCAGAGCUCGACAGAUUCAGGAGAUGGCUAGUCUAUCUGCGAUGGCUAUGGCUCCCAUAGAGCCUACCCAGCUUUUUUUGGAGGCAGUUCAGAGGAGUGUGGAGUCUAACUCAUCUAAAGACUUGAGAAUCUAGGCCA
rnacentral:lncRNA from 1 species